UCGAAGUUGAAGGGGAAGAGUAUUUUUUGUUUUUCUUUUUGGUUCACAAAGAACCUUAUAAGAUUGGUGCAGACUUCUGUCUCAUGAGCUGCUGUCCACACUACCUGCGGAGCUUUGAAAACAAUAUAAGGGUCAACGAACCCAAUAUUAUUGUCAUUUCUGAUUCUGAGCUCUCUCAUUUGGUGCCUGCAUAUAUACAUACAAAUCCUAAGUGUGUAAGGAUUAUAUACAUGUAAUUAAAGAAGUUAGA
rnacentral:lncRNA from 1 species